rnacentral:rRNA from 1 species
GUAACAAGGUUUCCGUAGGUGAACCUGCGGAAGGAUCAUUAUUGAAUUAUAGAGGGAGGUUGUUAGCUGGUCUUAAUCCAAGAUAUUGUGCACACCUCCUUUCCAAAUUUUCCACCAUGUGCACCUUUUGUAGGUCAAUUUUAUAAUUGGCCUAUGUCUUUUCAUAUACACUUAAAAGUUUAGAAUGUUAAAACAUAAGCUUGUUUUUUUUGCAAGCUGAAAAAUUUAAUACAACUUUCAACAACGGAUCUCUUGGCUCUCGCAUCGAUGAAGAACGCAGCGAAAUGCGAUAAGUAAUGUGAAUUGCAGAAUUCAGUGAAUCAUCGAAUCUUUGAACGCACCUUGCGCUCCUUGGUAUUCCGAGGAGCAUGCCUGUUUGAGUGUCAUUAAAUUCUCAAUCCUCUUUAACAAAUUGUGAAGGGGUUUUGGACUUUGGAGUGUUUGCUGGCAUUUUUAUGUCGGCUCCUCUUAAAUAUAUUAGCUGUGGAUCUUUUGCAGAUGAGCUUUAGUUUGAUAAAUAUCUAUGCUAAUUGCUUGUGAAGCAAAAUAUCAGCUUCUAAUUGUUGUUUACAACUCUUUUUUGAUAUUUUGACCUCAAAUCAGGUAGGACUACCCGCUGAACUUAAGCAUAUCAAUAAGCGGAGGAAAAGAAACUAACAAGGAUUCCCCUAGUAACUGCGAGUGAAGCGGGAAAAGCUCAAAAUUUAAAUUCUGGCAGGCUUUUGACUGUCCGAGUUGUAAUCUAGAGAAGUGCUUUCGCGUGG